rnacentral:rRNA from 1 species
UGUCCGAAUGGGGAAACCCAGAUGGACUCGAUCCAGUUAUUUCUACCUGAAUAUAUAGGGUAGAUAAAGGGAACGUGGGGAAGUGAAACAUCUCAGUACCCACAGGAAGAGAAAGCAAAAGCGAUUCCGUUAGUAGUGGCGAGCGAACGCGGAAGAGGCCAAACCGAACAUGUGUGAUAGCCGGUAGGCGUUGCAUGUUCGGGGUUGCGGGACCUUUCAGCAGAUCUACCGAUCUGCAGCAGUAGAAAGCAAUAUAGACGAAUGUUCUUGAAAGUUCAGUCAUAGAGGGUGCGAACCCCGUAGUCGAAAUGUUGUGGACACUGGAGAGGGAUCCCAAGUAGUACGGAACCCGUGAAAUUCUGUGCGAAUCUGUGAGGACCACCUCAUAAGCCUAAAUACUACCUACUGACCGAUAGCGGACAAGUACCGUGAGGGAAAGGUGAAAAGUACCCCGGGAGGGGAGUGAAAUAGUACCUGAAACCGUGUGCUUACAAACCGUUGGAGCCAGCUUGUACUGGUGACAGCGUGCCUUUUGAAGAAUGAGCCUGAGAGUUAGUGAUAUGUGGCGAGGUUAACCCGUGUGGGGAAGCCGUAGCGAAAGCGAGUCUGAAUAGGGCGAUUCAGUCGCAUGUCCUAGACCCGAAGCGAAGUGAUCUAUCCAUGGUCAGGUUGAAGCGCCGGUAAGACGGCGUGGAGGACCGAACCCACUUCAGUUGAAAAUGGAGGGGAUGAACUGUGGAUCGGGGUGAGAGGCCAAUCAAACUUCGUGAUAGCUGGUUCUCUCCGAAAUGCAUUUAGGUGCAGCGUCGCGUGUUUCUUACUGGAGGUAGAGCUACUGGAUAGCCGAUGGGCCCUACAAGGUUACUGACGUUAGCCAAACUCCGAAUGCCAGUAAGUUAGAGCGCGGCAGUGAGUCUACGGGGGAUAAGCUUCGUGGACAAAAGGGAAACAACCCAGACUACCAAUUAAGGUCCCAAAGCGUGUGCUAAGCGGAAAAGGAUGUGAAGUUGCAUAGACAACCAGGAGGUUGGCUUAGAAGCAGCCACCCUUGAAAGAGUGCGUAAUAGCUCACUGGUCAAGUGACUUUGCGCCGACAAGGUAACGGGGCCCAAGCACACCACCGAAAUUGUAGAAUUGACACCAUUGCCUGCCGUAAGGCCAGGCGUGUUGAUUGGUAGGAGAGCGUCGUGUGGCGAGCGAAGCGGCGGAGGAAUCCAGCCGUGGAUGCCACACGAGUGAGAAUUCAGGCAUGAGUAGCGAAUGACGGGUGAGAAACCCGUCCUCCGGAAGACCAAGGGUUCCAGGGCCAGGUUAAUCCGCCCUGGGUAAGUCGGGACCUAAGGCGAGGCCGACAGGCGUAGUCGAUGGACAACGGGUUGAUAUUCCCGUACCGGCGAAGAACCGCCCAAGCUAAUCCAGUAAUGCUAAGUAGCUGAAGCUGCAUUCGAUCCCUUCGGGGUGACUUUGUAGUGGAGCCUACGACCCUAUGCUGGUGCGGCUAGCGUAUUAACAGGUGUGACGCAGGAAGGUAGCCUCCGCGUGGUGAUGGUUAUCCACGUUUAAGGUUGUAGGGCGAGACAUAGGCAAAUCCGUGUCUCACAUAGCCUGAGAACUGAUGAUGAGUCCUAACGGACGAAGAGGGUGAUCCUAUGCUGCCAAGAAAAGCAUCGACGCGAGGUUCUAGCUGCCCGUACCCCAAACCGACUCAGGUGGUCAGGUAGAGAAUACUAAGGAGAUCGAGAGAAUCACGGUUAAGGAACUCGGCAAAAUACCCCCGUAACUUCGGGAGAAGGGGGGCCAGAGGUGUGUAGAGACUUGCUCUCGAAGCACUGUAUGGCCGCAGAGAAUAGUGGGAAGCGACUGUUUACUAAAAACACAGGUCCGUGCGAAGUUGCAAAACGAUGUAUACGGGCUGACGCCUGCCCGGUGCUGGAAGGUUAAGAGGAG